rnacentral:misc_RNA from 1 species
GAUGAAGAACGUAGCGAAAUGCGAUAAGUAGUGUGAAUUGCAGAAUUCAGUGAAUCAUCGAAUCUUUGAACGCACAUUGCGCCCGCCGGUAUUCCGGCGGGCAUGCCUGUCCGAGCGUCAUUUCACCACUCAAGCCCAGCUUGGUGUUGGGGCACCCGGCCGCCUGGCGGCCGGGGCCCCCAAGUACAUCGGCGGUCCCGCUGGGGGCACCGAGCGCAGUAGCUCGCGGUAAAACGCGCCCUCGCUCGGCGGCCUCUUCGGGCUUCCAGCCGCUAAACCCGCGUCCACCGACGCCCUUUCGAGUUGACCUCGGAUCAGGUAGGAAUACCCGCUGAACUUAAGCAUAUCAAUAAGCGGAGGA